UACGGGGGGUGCGAGCGUUGUCCGGAAUCACUGGGCGUAAAGGGCGCGUAGGUGGUUUGAUAAGGGUGUGGUGAAAGCCCGGAGCUCAACUCCGGGUCUGCCGUGCCGACUGUCAAACUCGAGGGCUGUAGAGGCAGACGGAAUUCCGGGUGUAGCGGUGGAAUGCGUAGAUAUCGGGAGGAACACCAGUGGCGAAGGCGGCUUCCUGGCCUGUUCUUGACGCUGAGGCGCGAAAGCUAGGGGAGCAAACGGG
rnacentral:rRNA from 1 species